rnacentral:tRNA from 1 species
GGCCUCGUAUCUCAGCUGGUAGAGCAUGCGCGUACAAAGCGUAGGCGGCGUCCAUGCGUGAGUUCGAAUCCCACCGAGGCUA